GGGCUCGUAGCUCAGCUUGGCUGGAGCGUUCGACUGAUAAUCGAAAGGUCGUGUGUUCGAAUCACACCGGGCCCA
rnacentral:tRNA from 1 species